CUCUGUGGUUUUCCUGUGAACAAACUCUACAUCUACACAACUUCUCUACUGAAAUAAUCCUCUGGGUGAAGAUAUUCUGUGAAGUCAGACUAACAGUGAGACUCUCUGAAAAAUGACAUUGUUCAUCCCAGAUAUGACUGCUGGACGUCUGUUUUUUGUCAUCCUCAUUUUCUAUACCUUCCAACAUGUCAAAGCCCAAGACCGUCCUAAGCCCAGUCUGACUCUGAAUCAUGCAGUCAUCAGAGAGAGAGAAUCUAUUCAGCUGAUCUGUGAGACUCCAUCUGUAUCUGUGCCUCAGUGUCACUUCAUCAUAGAGGGGGAACAGAAGUCAUAUCCUUUACCUUGUCAGAGCACACUAACGGGAGAUAAGCUGCUUCACUGGGCAGGUCAAAGUUCACCUGUUGAGGUCAAAAUUCAAUGUUUCUACAUGGUGGAGACAUACUAUCCAUCGACACACAGUGACCCUGUCUCUUUGAGGAUUCUGGAUCACAGAGACCUCCCUCAGCCCAUUCUGACAGUGAAUCCUAAAGUUAUCAGAGAGAGAGACUCAGUUCAGCUGAGCUGUGUGACUCCUCCAUCUCUCUCUGAGUGUCAGUGUGUAUUCUAUGAAGACGGGAGACCUGCUCUUCCAGACACAUCCUGUAAACAGACGGUCACAGGAACUCAGCUGCUUUCUUGGACAGGUCAAAAAUCACCAGCUGUGGUCCAGGUGAUGUGUUACUACAUUGUAGGAAGAUAUCACACAUCUCCUCCCAGUGACCCAGUCAUUGUCACAUUCCAGGACCCUCCUCAGCCCAGUCUGACAGUGAGUCCUUCAGUCAUCAGAGAGAGAGACUCCGUUCAGAUGAUCUGUGAGACUCCAUCUGUAUCUGUGUCAGUGUGUCACUUCAUCAUAGAGGGGGAACAGAUCUCACAUCCUUCACCAUGUCAGAGCACACUAACGGGAUAUCAGCUGCUUCACUGGGCAGGUCAAAUUUCACCUGUUGAGGUCAAAAUUCUAUGUUUCUACAUUGUGGAGACAUACUAUCCAUCAACACGCAGUGACCCUGUCUCUUUGAGGAUUCUGGAUCAACAAGACCUCCCUCAGCCCAAUCUGAUAGUGAUUCCCACAGUUAUCAGAGAGGGAGACUCAGUUCAGCUGAGCUGUGUGACUCCUCAAUCUCUCUCUGUGUCUCAAUGUGUAUUCUAUGAAGACGGGAGACCUGCUCUUCCAGACACAUUCUGUAAACAGACUGUCACAGGAAUUCAGCUGCUUUCUUGGGCAGGUCAAAAAUCACCAGCUGUGGUCCAGGUGAUGUGUUACUACAUUGUAGAAAGAUAUUACCCAUCUCCUUCCAGUGGCCCAGUCAUUGUCACUGUCCAGGGUUUAACCUCUCCUUUCACACCCAGCAUGGCAAUUAAUCAUACAUCAGGUUCCACAGUUAGUACUACUUUGACAAGUGACACCCCAAAGAAAACAACUGUAGGUUCAACCACUGCUUCUAGCACCCCGGCAACUUCAUCAGGUUUAACCUCUCCUUUCAUACCCAGCAUGGCAAUUAAUCAUACUUCAGGUUCCACAGUUAGUAUUACUUUGACAAGUGACACCCCAAAGAAAACAACUGUAGGUUUGACUGUUAGUUCGACUUUGACAACUGGCAGCUCUCAGAGUUCAACUGAAAGAGUUCAAAGCUCCACAAUAACUGUUGUGGAUUCAAACCAAGAGAGCAAUUUGGUGCAAUCAUUUUGGUUAGCAGCAGUGGGUGUGGGUUCUGGAGUUGGCUUGUUCCUUGUGGGACUGACAGCUGUCUGUCUCUGUAGGAAGACCAAAAGAAACAAAUCUCAGAGACAUCAAGACCAACAAGAUGAUCAUAACCAACGUAUGGACCAACAAAUACACUAAACACCAUAUACUACUAUGACUACUAUACACAUGUACAAACACAAUAUAGAUCAAUUAGAAUAUAAUUUCUGUUGUAGAAUUUGUGAUGGAAACCAACAGUGGAAGCAUGGUGGAUUCAGGGAAUAAGGGGCAUUAUUCUCUCAUCCCCUCUGUACUAAUAAUGUUUAAAAAGGCAUAUUAUAUAAAUUAGAUGUUAUUUUGGCUCAAACCAAUUGCCAUGCAAAUAUUUGGUCUUGACUCUAGACAACCUGGUAAACUGUGGGUCCGGAGACCAAACCUGUUGAGGAGCAGUGAGUUAGAUCAUGAGAACAGAACUCUAAAUAAUAAGUGACUUAUAUACUCUAACCUGUUAUUUUAACUUUGUGUUCUGCUGGUGUUCUUUAUGGUAUGGAAGAAACCUAUAAAGGAGCUAGACACUGAGUGCUGGAUGAAUAUUAUAAGUCACUUAUUAUUUAGAGUCAAUGUUUUUGCAUGAUAAGAAGUCUAUCAGGGAAAUAAAAUCAAGUGGGCUUUGACCUGCAGCAUCUGCAGCUUAACCAGGUGGACUAGGACAGGGACAGUCGGGUGGGGUGUGGGCAGGUGGGGUGUGGGUAGGGGCCACAGGAAUCAUCCGGCUGCAACCUGAUCGGCAACACAUCCAGGAGAACUUCGGACUGGAACAGGUAUGGGUCAUUUGGGCCAGGUAGUUCUGAGGUGUGGUCCAAUGUCCUCCUAAGGUCAACCAGGACACCAGGAAUGUUAUAGGGGGCAUCCUAGAAUUCACAAGGAUACCUCAGCGCACUAUUUCCCUGUCCUGAUGGUGGGGUAAUUACUAACAGGUGGCCUCCCCCGGGUUUUGGCAUUGAGGACACGUAUACUUAGGAAGAGUUCAGAAAUCAAUAUUUGGUGGAAUAACCCUGACACGUAUACUUACAAGAGUGACUUACAUACACUCACCUAAAGGAUUAUUAGGAACACCAUACUAAUACUGUGUUUGACCCCCUUUCGCCUUCAGAACUGCCUUAAUUCUACGUGGCAUUGAUUCAACAAGGUGCUGAAAGCAUUCUUUAGAAAUGUUGAUGGAGAUUUGUGGGAUGCACAUCCAGGGCACGAAGCUCCCGUUCCACCACAUCCCAAAGAUGUUCUAUUGGGUUGAGAUCUGGUGACUGUGGGGGCCAUUUCAGUACAGUGAACUCAUUGUCAUGUUCAAGAAACCAAUUUGAAAUGAUUCGAGCUUUGUGACAUGGUGCAUUAUCCUGCUGGAAGUAGCCAUCAGAGGAUGGGUACAUGGUGGUCAUAAAGGGAUGGACAUGGUCAGAAACAAUGCUCAGGUAGGCCAUGGCAUUUAAAUGAUGCCCAAUUGGCACUAAGGGGCCUAAAGUGUGCCAAGAAAACAUCCCCCACACCAUUACACCACCACCACCACCACCAGCCUGCACAGUGGUAACAAGGCAUGAUGGAUCCAUGUUCUCAUUCUGUUUACGCCAAAUUCUGACUCUACCAUCUGAAUGUCUCAACAGACAUCGAGACUCAUCAGACCAGGCAACAUUCUUCCAGUCUUCAACUGUCCAAUUUUGGUGAGCUCGUGCAAAUUGUAGCCUCUUUUUCCUAUUUGUAGUGGAGAUGAGUGGUGCCCGGUGGGGUCUUCUGCUGUUGUAGCCCAUCCGCCUCAAGGUUGUGCGUGUUGUGGCUCCUCAAAUGCUUUGCUGCAUACCUCGGUUGUAACGAGUGGUUAUUUCAGUCAAAGUUGCUCUUCUAUCAACUUGAAUCAGUCGGCCCAUUCUCCUCUGACCUCUAGCAUCAACAAGGCAUUUUUGCUCACAGGACUGCCGCAUACUGGAUGUUUUUCCCUUUUCACACCAGAAAUGGUUGUGCGUGAAAAUCCCAGUAACUGAGCAGAUUGUGAAAUACUCAGACCGGCCCGUCUGGCACCAACAACCAUGCCACGCUCAAAAUUGUUUAAAUCACCUUUCUUUCCCAUUCUGAAAUUCAGUUUGGAGUUCAGGAGAUUGUCUUGACCAGGACCACACCCCUAAAUGCAUUGAAGCAACUGCCAAGUGAUUGGUUGAUUAGAUAAUUGCAUUAAUGAGAAAUUGAACAGGUGUUCCUAAUAAUCCUUUAGGUGAGUGUAUUUUACAUUGUUGAUUGUAUGGAUUUACCAAUCCAAUACUGGCAUUAGAAAUGUGUCCGAUACAGGCCAAAAAAAUUGAAUCAUGUUUCAGCAACAGCGAAUAAUGAGCUGAUGCCAUGAAACAGAUUGUCCUAACAUUGUGACACAUUAGUUGUUUGUGACAAGCAGCCCGGAAACAUGUGGGCUAUGCCUUGUGAACCACAAUAAUCUCUGGAAUUACUUUAAACUUAAAACAGACAUUAGUAAAACUGGUAGUUGCAAACUUUGCAAAGCAAGUGUUUCAUGGGGUGACAGUAGAAGAGAUUUGAGUUAAAAAUCAGAAAAACAAGAUGGACGCCCCCAUUAAAGCCUUUGUCGUACUUGCAAUUUCGGGAAUAUAUACAAUGUUCAUUAAAUGGCUACACAUUAUAUUUAAUUGUGUAGCCAUUUUUUUUUUUUACAGCUUUUUAAUCACACAUCCCAGGUGCUCUUCAGAAUAUUGUAACAUUAACUAAAAACGUAAUUUUGCUAUAUAUUUUGUUGAAACUUACAACUUUGAACUCGGAAAUUCCGAGCUCCGAGUACAUAUGGAACGUGCCAUAAUUCAGAGUACAAUUCUUAAUGGCGAGUCUCCCAAACCAUUCUGAAAUAGCUAAAUAGCAAGCCUACCUUUUUCUUCCAUCUUCACGCGAUUAGCUACUGCAGAUAUACUAUCUCCUGAAGUGCCUAGAAAUAAUUCUGUCACUUUGAUCACAUUGUGAUUGGACAAAAUGCUAAACAUGCAAAUUCCC
ensembl:lncRNA